GACGAACGCUGGCGGCGUGCUUAACACAUGCAAGUCGAACGGUAAGGCCCUUUCGGGGGUGCACGAGUGGGGAACGGGUGAGUAACACGUGGGUGAUCUGCCCUGCACGUUGGGAUAAGCCUGGGAAACUGGGUCUAAUACCGGAUAGGACUACGCGAUUCAUGUCGUGGGGUGGAAAGCUUUUGCGGUGUGGGAUGGGGGCGGGGCCUAUCAGCUUGUUGGUGGGGUGAUGGCAUACCAAGGCGACGACGGGUAGCCGGCCUGAGAGGGUGUCCGGCCACACUGGGACUGAGAUACGGCGCAGCCUCCUACGGGAGGCAGCAGUGGGGAAUAUUGCACAAUGGGCGCAAGCCUGAUGCAGCGACGCCGCGUGGGGGAUGACGGCCUUCGGGUUGUAAACCACUUUCAGCACAGACGAAGCGUAAGUGACGGUAUGUGCAGAAGAAGCACCGGCUAACUACAUG
rnacentral:rRNA from 1 species